GCCAGGUGCAGUGUGUGUGCCUGUAGUCCCAGCUACUCGGGAGGCUAAGGUAGGAGGAUCACUUGAACCCAGGAGUUCUGGGCUGUAGUGCACUAUGCCGAUCAAGUGUCCACACUAAGUUCAGCAUCAAUAUGGUGAUCUCCUGGGAGCGGGGGACCACCAGGUUGCCUAAGGAUGGGUGGUCAGAAAUGGAGCAGGUCAAAACUCCCGUGCUGAUCAGUAGUGGGACUGCGCCUAUGACUAGCCACUGCACUCCAGCCUGGGCAACAUAGCGAGACCCUGUCUCAG
ensembl:misc_RNA Metazoa_SRP Metazoan signal recognition particle RNA